ACUCGCUCCACCACCUACUCCACCAACUACCGGUUCCUGGGCUCCAUCCCGCCACCCUGCCUCCGGUCCACCAGCAGCGUGGCCAGUGUCUAUGCAGGUGUCAUUGGUUCACUCCUGGAUCUCUGUGUCCUGCUCCACCAGUUUCUGGGGUGGUUGGGGGUCCGGGGGCGUGGCCAUGGAGUUGGCCAGAAGUCUGGGAGACAUCCAGAGCGGGAAGGACACCAUGCAAAAGCUGAAUGACCAACUGAGCUCCUACCUGGAGAGGGUGAGGAGUCUGGAGACCGAGGACCAGAGGCUGGAGAGCAAAAUCCGAGAACACCUAUAGAAGAAGGGACCUCAGGUCAGAGACUGAGGACAUGACUUCAAGACCAUCGAGGACCUGAGGGCUAGAUCUUUGCAACUUCUGUGGACAAUGCCCACAUCGUUCUGCAGAUUGACAAGGCCCGUCUUGCUGCUGAUGACUUUAGAGUCAAGUAUGAGACAGAGUUGGCCAUGUGCCAGUCCGUGGAGAGCAACAUCCAUGGGAUCCGCAAGGUCAUUGAUGACACCAAUGUCACCCGGCUGCAGCUGGAGACAGAAAUCGAGGCUCUCAAGGAGGAGCUGCUCUUCAUGAAGAAGAACCAUGAGGAGGAAGUAAAAGGCCUACAAGCCCAGAUUGCCAGCUCUGGGUUGACCGUGGAGGUAGAGGCCCCCAAAUCACAGGACCUCAACAAGAUCACGGUGGACGUCCAGGCCCAGGAUGAUGAGCUGGCUCAGAAGAACCAAAAGUAGCUGGACAAGUACUGGUCUCAGCAGAUUGAGGAGAGCACCAGAGUGGUCACCACGCAGUCCACUGAGAUUGGAGUUGCCCAAAUGACGCCUAUGGAGCUGAAACGUACAGUGCAGUCCUUGGAGAUUGACCUAGACUCCAUGAAAAACCAGAAGGUCAGCUUGGAGAACAGCCUGAGAGAGGUGGAGGCCUGCUACGCCAUGCAGUUGGAGCAGCUCAAUGGCACCCUGCUGCACCUGAAGUCUGAACUGGCACAGACCCAGACAGAGGGCCAGUGCCAGGCCCAGGAGUACGAGUCCCUGCUGAACAUCAAGGUCAAGCUGGAGGCUGAGAUUGCCACCUUCUGCCGCCUGCUAGAAGAUGGAGAGGACUUCAGUCUCAGUGAUGGCCUGGACAGCAGCAGCUUCAUCCAGAUCACCCAAAAGACCACCACCCGCAAGAUAGUGGAUAGCAAAUUAGUGUCUGAGGCGUUGAGGCAGUGGGAGCAGGGUGCCCUUUGA